UACAGGGGGGGCAAGCGUUGUUCGGAAUUACUGGGCGUAAAGGGCGCGUAGGCGGCCUGUUAAGUCGAACGUGAAAUCCCCGGGCUCAACCCGGGAACUGCGUCCGAUACUGGCAGGCUUGAAUCCGGGAGAGGGAUGCGGAAUUCCAGGUGUAGCGGUGAAAUGCGUAGAUAUCUGGAGGAACACCGGUGGUGUAGACGGCUCACUGGACCGUAACUGACGCUGAGACACGAAAGCGUGGGUAGCAAACAGG
rnacentral:rRNA from 1 species